UACGUACCGUACGAACGUUAUUCGGAAUUACUGGGCUUAAAGGGUUUGUAGGCGGCCAUGUAAGUGGGGUGUGAAAUCCCUCGGCUCAACCGAGGAAUGGCGCCCCAUACUGCAUGGCUUGAGGGAGACAGGGGUAAGCGGAACUGAUGGUGGAGCGGUGAAAUGCGUUGAUAUCAUCAGGAACACCGGUGGCGAAAGCGGCUUACUGGGUCUCUUCUGACGCUGAGGAACGAAAGCUAGGGUAGCGAACGGG
rnacentral:rRNA from 1 species